CUAGGAAUAUAAGGUAGCAUGUGAAGUAAAUAAACCACAAAAUAAAUAGGGCACAUGAUGGCCCACUUAAUGUAAUAGUAAUUUAAAAUAAUUUUUUAUUUUUAAUCAUGUAUCUAUUAUAGAGUAGACUAUAAAAGUUGCAUGAAUUUUUUGAAAAGAUUUCAAGGAAAUCUUGAAAAGGCUACCCUGGGUGCUCUUUUCAUCUGUUCAAGUAGAUUCUAUGGAGAAGGUUGAGAGAGAAUUGCUUCAGGUGACCGUCAUUGAAAACGUAACUAUUAUACCUCAGUCUGUUGUGGACAACUCUGGAGAUCAGCCUUUUAUCCUAUACAUUUCAUAUAAGAAAAAUGUUUUAUAGAAGUAACCACUGUGACUACAACCACAUAUAGCAGCAUCAACUACACGUUGUGUUAAGUGGGACAGCAAGAUCUAGUAAAACAAACGGCCGGGCGCGGUGGCUCAUGCCUGUAAUCCCAGCACUUUGGGAGGCCGAGGCUGGCGGAUCACGAGGUUAGGAGAUCGAGACCAUCCUGG
rnacentral:lncRNA from 1 species